AUGACGAGUCUGACGGAGCACGCCGCGUGAGUGAUGAAGGUUUUCGGAUCGUAAAGCUCUGUUGUUAGGGAAGAACGCUUGGGAGAGUAACUGGUCGGAAGGUGACGGUACCUGAACCGAAAGCCCCGGCUAACUACCUGCCCGCAGCCGCGGUAAUACCUAAGGGGGAAGCGUUGUCCGGAAUUUUUGGGCGUAAAGCGCGCGCAGGGGGUUUUUUUAGUCUGGAGUUUAAUCCCCCGGCUCCACCCCGGAUCGCACUGGGAACUGGGUGAAUUUUGUGCGCAAAAAAAGAGAGGAAUUUCCCGUGUAUCGGGGAAAUGCGUAUAUAUGUGGAGGAAAACCCCUGGGGAAAGGGACUCUCUGGGCUGUGACUGACACUGAGACGCGAAAACGUGGGGAGCAAAAACGAUUUUAUACCCUGGGAGUCCCCCCCCCAAACGAUAAGUGCUAUAUGUUAGGGGUGUUUAUACCCUUGGUGCCGAAGUUAACACAUUAAACACUCUCCCUGGGGAGAACGGUCGCAAGACUGAAACUCUCAGGAAUUUUCGGGGG
rnacentral:rRNA from 1 species